UCAAUUCGAGUCGUGUUACGUUGC
rnacentral:siRNA from 1 species